rnacentral:tRNA from 1 species
GACCGCGUAGCUCAGUUGACAGAGCAUUGGGCUAGCAUGCCAAAGGUCGUAGGUUCGAUUCCCACCGUGGUCA